rnacentral:rRNA from 1 species
GGUUAAGCGACUAAGCGUACACGGUGGAUGCCCUGGCAGUCAGAGGCGAUGAAGGACGUGCUAAUCUGCGAUAAGCGUCGGUAAGGUGAUAUGAACCGUUAUAACCGGCGAUUUCCGAAUGGGGAAACCCAGUGUGAUUCGUCACACUAUCAUUAACUGAAUCCAUAGGUUAAUGAGGCGAACCGGGGGAACUGAAACAUCUAAGUACCCCGAGGAAAAGAAAUCAACCGAGAUUCCCCCAGUAGCGGCGAGCGAACGGGGAGCAGCCCAGAGCCUGAAUCAGUGUGUGUGUUAGUGGAAGCGUCUGGAAAGGCGCGCGAUACAGGGUGACAGCCCCGUACACAAAAAUGCACAUGCUGUGAGCUCGAUGAGUAGGGCGGGACACGUGGUAUCCUGUCUGAAUAUGGGGGGACCAUCCUCCAAGGCUAAAUACUCCUGACUGACCGAUAGUGAACCAGUACCGUGAGGGAAAGGCGAAAAGAACCCCGGCGAGGGGAGUGAAAAAGAACCUGAAACCGUGUACGUACAAGCAGUGGGAGCCUCUUUAUGGGGUGACUGCGUACCUUUUGUAUAAUGGGUCAGCGACUUAUAUUCUGUAGCAAGGUUAACCGAAUAGGGGAGCCGAAGGGAAACCGAGUCUUAACUGGGCGUUAAGUUGCAGGGUAUAGACCCGAAACCCGGUGAUCUAGCCAUGGGCAGGUUGAAGGUUGGGUAACACUAACUGGAGGACCGAACCGACUAAUGUUGAAAAAUUAGCGGAUGACUUGUGGCUGGGGGUGAAAGGCCAAUCAAACCGGGAGAUAGCUGGUUCUCCCCGAAAGCUAUUUAGGUAGCGCCUCGUGAAUUCAUCUCCGGGGGUAGAGCACUGUUUCGGCAAGGGGGUCAUCCCGACUUACCAACCCGAUGCAAACUGCGAAUACCGGAGAAUGUUAUCACGGGAGACACACGGCGGGUGCUAACGUCCGUCGUGAAGAGGGAAACAACCCAGACCGCCAGCUAAGGUCCCAAAGUCAUGGUUAAGUGGGAAACGAUGUGGGAAGGCCCAGACAGCCAGGAUGUUGGCUUAGAAGCAGCCAUCAUUUAAAGAAAGCGUAAUAGCUCACUGGUCGAGUCGGCCUGCGCGGAAGAUGUAACGGGGCUAAACCAUGCACCGAAGCUGCGGCAGCGACACUAUGUGUUGUUGGGUAGGGGAGCGUUCUGUAAGCCUGCGAAGGUGUACUGUGAGGUAUGCUGGAGGUAUCAGAAGUGCGAAUGCUGACAUAAGUAACGAUAAAGCGGGUGAAAAGCCCGCUCGCCGGAAGACCAAGGGUUCCUGUCCAACGUUAAUCGGGGCAGGGUGAGUCGACCCCUAAGGCGAGGCCGAAAGGCGUAGUCGAUGGGAAACAGGUUAAUAUUCCUGUACUUGGUGUUACUGCGAAGGGGGGACGGAGAAGGCUAUGUUGGCCGGGCGACGGUUGUCCCGGUUUAAGCGUGUAGGCUGGUUUUCCAGGCAAAUCCGGAAAAUCAAGGCUGAGGCGUGAUGACGAGGCACUACGGUGCUGAAGCAACAAAUGCCCUGCUUCCAGGAAAAGCCUCUAAGCAUCAGGUAACAUCAAAUCGUACCCCAAACCGACACAGGUGGUCAGGUAGAGAAUACCAAGGCGCUUGAGAGAACUCGGGUGAAGGAACUAGGCAAAAUGGUGCCGUAACUUCGGGAGAAGGCACGCUGAUAUGUAGGUGAAGUCCCUUGCGGAUGGAGCUGAAAUCAGUCGAAGAUACCAGCUGGCUGCAACUGUUUAUUAAAAACACAGCACUGUGCAAACACGAAAGUGGACGUAUACGGUGUGACGCCUGCCCGGUGCCGGAAGGUUAAUUG